rnacentral:rRNA from 1 species
GACGAACCGUGCGAACGUUAUUCGGAAUCACUGGGCUUAAAGCGCGUGUAGGCGGGCCGCCGCGUCGGCUGCUGAAAUCCCCCGGCUCAACCGGGGAAGGGGCACCGAUACGGGCGGCCUGGAGGGGGGUAGGGGGGUCUGGAACUUCCGGUGGAGCGGUGAAAUGCGUUGAGAUCGGAAGGAACGCCCGUGGCGAAAGCGGCUUCCUGGUCCAGCACCGACGUUCAGGCACGAAAGCGUGGGGAGCAAGCAGGAGUAGAUA